GGCUGAUUAGCUCAGCUGGUUAGAGCAUGGGACUAAUAAUACCAAGGUCCAGGGUUCGAUCCCUGUACCAGCCA